CACGAUGAUAAAAAUGCAUAUAAACUGCAAAAUAUAAUUUUGAUAAAACGAUUCUAGAAAAGUCAAUAUGAGUUAAAGCAGUGUGUAGACAGUAUAAUAUAGACUUUUAUCAUAGAAAAUUUGUAAGGUUCUUAUCGAACAAUCCGAAAGAAUCCUGAUCAUAAUAGCUGCGUUUCGAGUUAAUUCGGAACAACGUUUUUAUUCCGCGUUUAGUCAUACCUAUAACGUGACAGAGCAAACUUGUUCCACAAGACAACAUCCGGUAGAAUUUGUUAGCAUUUGCAACAUGUCUUUUACGAAUUCCGGCACGUAUUAGUACUUUCGUGCAGCUCCGGAGUGUUCAUCAGACGAUAUACAGGAAGAGAGGGAAGCACGGCUACAUGCAUAAAGUUAGGUGUUUUGCUUUUCCCACGAAAACAAAGCUCCAUCGGUUAGAAAAUGACUGGAACUCCUGUAUUGAAGAAAGCGAUUCUGCUCCCUCUAUUUUGUGGAUGGAAGACCAACGAUAAGCACCCGUUUAUAGGACUCCUCUACAUGAAAGGUGAAGAUAACGAACAGUGAUCAAUCUCAUAACUCCUAUAAAGAAUACAAAACAGAGUUGGGCAAACAUGGAUCCAUUGGAUUGAUUGAUUGAAUAUUGUUCAACGUCCCUCUCGAGAAUAUUUCACUCACAUGGAGACGCCACUAAUGCCAGUGAAGAGCUGCAAAAUUUACGCCUAUGCUCGACGCUUAUGGCCAUUGAGCAGGGAGGGAUCGUUAUCGUGCCACACCUGCUGUGACACGGGACUUCGUUUUUUGCAGUCUCAUCCGAAGGACUGCCUCAUUUAUUCACCUCGUACGACAAGCAAGGGGGUAACUGAGGAUCUAUUCUGACCCAGAUCCCCACAGGAUUGGACCCCUUGGACAUACCAGAGGUGGGAUCAGGUGUCUAGAAGGAGUAAGCAUCCCCUGUCGACCGGUCACACCAGCUGUGAGUCCUAUAUCUUGUUCAGUGAAAUGGCUCAAAAUAGCAUGAGGGAUGGAUAUUUAUUGUGAUAAGAAUAUUUUGUGAAUGUUUUGUGCAAGUUUCCUGCUUUUUGUCACAUUUGACAUUUCUGACAGUUAACGGUAUUGAUAUCUGAAAUGAAAGCGCCAAAAACACAGUGUAUUUGUUGGAAGCAAUGUACAAGGUGAGUGAAUUAAAAAAUAUCGAAUCAUU